CUUUCCAUUGGCAGCACACAGAUUACCGCUUUCAAAGUCUGGCUCUGUUCGCUUAUCGUGAUCUUCAGUAGCUUCCUGUCCCCGCCUCCCCCCUCUUCGCGAGUGUGGGCAUGUGUGGCGAGGUUUGCGUAUCCUGGCAGUCUUGACGUUGCCUACCUCCCUCUUACGACCUGCGCAGUAACACGUUGUUUAUUCGCGUUGUUUAUUGUGGGGAGAGGAGGCGAUACUCGAAAGUACUCGAAACGUGUCCGAGCCGAGACACAGCGAGGUCUAGCUAGGCAGCUGUGUGAUUAGGAGAGCCUGCGCACGUGAGUCUCGCUGGCGUCUCCUCUUCCUGAACCGCCAACAUCGCUUCUUCACGGUCUUCCUCUCUCCCUCCCAGGCUGUCGCGUUUGGGCGCCGUGCCGCGUGGACUUCGUGGUCGCGUGUUGGAAGCUCUCUUUACGCGUCUCUCUCUAUAUAUUUAUUUAUCUCUAUUUCUUGUGUUUUUUUUUGCUUUUGGGUGUUGAGCGUCCGCUCUCUACCUUCUCUGUGAGCGUAUUUCUGUGCGUUCAGUUGAGUCUCGUCUCUCUCUUUCUUUCCGCCUCACAAGGUGGAGCGACGAAUUAUAUAUUACUGCUGUUGCUGCCUCGGGCAUACUUUUCCUCUGCUCUCUCUCUCCUGGUCUUGCUACCCACACGCCCACUCCUUGCCUUUGCUGCUUCUCAUUAUCUUCGACCUUUCAGUUUCUUUUUCCAUAUCUGUCUCUUUCUCUGUGUGUGUGUGUGUGUGAGCUCGUUUUAGCUGUGCUCUGUCUUGUCAGCUUACGUGCCCCCCGCCUCUUUCUCUGUCUUUCGAUCUCUUGCCAUCACACUCUGCACCGGCCGUGCGUGUGUCGGAGGAUCUGCCUAUCCUGCUGCUGCUCUCCUCGUGCAGUGGUGGUCUAGUAUAGCCGCCUCUCGACGCCGCUGAUCGACUGACUUUGCGGCACCUGGGGUGCAGAAAAACGAGCUCUUCUCUCUCCGUCGAAGCACGAGGCGAAAAACAACGAAGACACGCAUCGGUGUUGCCGCCGCCGCCUCCCUUCUAGUUGUUCUAUUCCGUCAUGUUUACUCGAUAUUUGGGUUACCGUGGUCAUAUGCGGCAAAGAGAGAGAGGUGCGUUUCUGGCGAGCUUCCGUCGCGGAAACGGAUCCACGUCGGCUGUGAAAACCGUGGCAUUGCUGUUGCUGAUACUCGUUGCUUGUGGUGCUGCAGCCCGCCCGUGCACGAACGCGGAUAUCAUACACUUCUUCUCGCCGUGUGAUAAGAGGACGGGUAAGCUGACCGUCCUAUCCUACCUCAGCAGCGACGCGGAUUGCGAGCGGGGGAAUCUUUUCGUGCCACCCCCACGCACCACUGCCUGCUACGACUGCACAGAUGGCUACCGCCUGGACCCGUUGACGCUUGAAUGUGCCGUGUGUCCAGCCGGCACCUACUCCUCAUACACGACCCGCUACGUGACCUUUGACCCCUUGCCCGAAGACAUGAGAACGUACUGCAGUCCGGAGCCGUGUGCGUCGUGGAGCGCCGUGGAGGAUACUUACGGGACGGUGGUCUCCUCGGGUGUGCAGCCGACCGAGAACCGUCCCGUGACGCAGUGGGGUACGAUCGACGAGUCGGUGGAGUCCACGCUGGACUUCGUAGUUGACGUUAUUGAGAGCAGCGGCUCGCUCGAGUUCGAUUACUCGAUCUCGUCGGAAGAGAUGUACGACGGACUCGUGCUGCGCCUCAACUACUCCAUUGUCAGAAACCCGGACACGGAGGUCGGUAAGUACCGGUUUUUCGCCACGGGGGUGCACCGCGACUGGUAUCACGCCUCCUUACGGCUGCCGUACGGUACCACCCAGAUUCAGUUUGACUACAUGAAGGACAGCACCGGUCCACCCUACGGCGAGGAGCUCACCGGCGUGAAUGAUCGGGCGCUGUUACGCAACAUUGUCGUCAAAGGCACGCGCAAGACAGUGGCAGAGAUGCAGUGCGUCAGCUGUCCACCCGGGCACUGGACGGCCAGGGAGGGCAGCGGUGGUGUUGGCGCAUCCCAGUGCGUGCGAUGUCCACGGAACACAUACCGGGGAGAGGGCGAUACGCAGUGUCUCCAGUGCCCGCCGAACACCUCAUCGCCAGAGGGCGCUAAUAACUGCACUCGCAUGCGUGCGUGCACGGGGGGCGACUACAUUGCGCAGUACGGCAGCUGCCGGAGUGAUAACACGCGACUGCGGAGCUGGGUCAAGUACGAGGGCGCAGACUGUGCUGAAGUCGAGGGCAGCAGGCCGACAGCGACGAGGGUCGAAUGUGCGACAUGUCUGCCGGGCAUGCGGCACGCAGACAGUCGAGCUCGGGGGGCGUGUGUCAGUUGUCCUGCGGGGGAGUACCUCUUAGGCGAUAGGUGCGAAGUGUGUCCAUUGGGGACGGCCGCCAUACCCAAGCUGGUGUACAGCAGUGGCUUCGACGGCCUCGGCGGUGAUGUGAUGGCGCUGCCAGGGAUCUCGCUGUCGCGCAUCUACUGCACAGGCUCUGCAAGCCGCUGCCGAAGGGAGGAAGGGAAAGGGUUCGAGCUUGUGGGGCUUCCGUUCGCGGACGAGGACAAUACGCUGAUCGGCAUUCGACAAGAACACCUUGCCAGCUCGACCUACUCGCUGGCCACCCUCAGCUACACCUUCCAUGCCGAGGAAGACGGCUGGGCGAACAUCACCUUCGCUUAUGUCGACGCUGAGGGCAAGUAUGUGCAAAGGAUGGAUUGGCGGACGACAUUGAACGUGCGGGUCAUCGUAGACGAUAACGCCGAAUAUCCGGUCCGAGCUUUUGCGUCGCACACGGGGAGGGUGGACUCGGUGUUUUACUCCCUUCUUGUGCCGUACUACGUGGAUACGGCACUUCCUGCCAGCGGUUCCGACUCGAAGCUGCGUGGCAUGCGGCACCGCUUAAGCUGGAUCGUGGAGGAGCUCGCCUUCACAUCCAACCCGAUCUCAGUCGUGAUCGUGGGCCUGGAAGUGUUUGGCGAUGUAUCGGGCGGUGUGCAGACGUGCCAACCCUGCCGAGCUGGGUUCAGCUGCGCAUCACGCGCGGCGAAGAUGACUCCAUGCUCACCUGGCACCGUGCAACCCGCGUUACGAGCGCACCGGUGCGAGCCGUGCAUCGGCAAUACCUACGCUCCCGGAUACGGCUUCACGACAUGCCUUCAGUGCCCGGGCAACACGGUCGCAAACGCAGACCACACAGGCUGCAGCCUCGGCUGCGUGUUCGAAAGAAACGGCAUGGUGUACAACUUCAGCGAGCUGCGGGGUGUCGUCUUGAAUGCGUCAGUGGGGUACAUGCCGGCAACGAACGCGUCCGUGUCCAACAUGACGGUCGAGGAGGCCGACGAAGCCGGUAUACCCCGCUUCUACUUCUCUCCAUGCGACCCGCUCCCCGUCCGAGAUGCCCGGGCCACCUCCGAGAGCGACUCUGCCCUUACCCCGAUCACGCGCGAUCGGCUGUGCGUGCCUUCAGCGCGCGGCCGCAACAGCUCCUCUAGUGCGUACGUGUGUCAGCGCACUUCAGCCACCAACGGCCACCACUUUGGCGACGCUGUUGUGCACAUGGAGGUUGGUCGGCAUCUCUACCUGGUGACGCAGUUGGGCAGCCCAUACAUCUUCUACGGCGUCGAUACCUCCGCGGACGACUGGGUCUACGACGCGAAGUCCAACUACAUGGCGUUUAUCGAACUGGAGUGCAGCACGAGCGGCGGUGAGCCAAAGUUCGGCACGCUGCAGUACGUCGGCGAGGGCAACGAGGACCUUGUCCUUCGGUGGCGCUCUGCCUACGCGUGCCCCCUCUGCACAAACGAAAGCUAUGAAAAGGUGGAGACGAGCUGCGAUGAUCCCACCGCAACGACGCGGCGGGUGUACUACACCUUACGCAGGGACAGUAUGAACUGCGUCGGCGGCUACGUGCCACCGGAGCCGAUUAUUGUGAAGUGCACCGAGUGCACCCUCGACGCCUACACCGUGCGCUGGCUGGAGUGCGAUCCAUCAACACAGACACAGGAGGGUGUCUAUGUACUUCUACCCGACCGUGCCAACUGCACACCAGGUGCCUCCCCGCUGCCCCCCGUGAAGCCGCGCCCGUGCGAUGCGUCGGGCGGUACCGCUGGCAGGGGUACCUCUCGCAGAACGGUGGUGGUGCUUCUCGUGGUUCUCGGGCUUGUGCUAGCUGGACUGGGAGUGAUGACUUUUUACUACCGUCGUCUGCGGGAGCGUGUCGCGCGCGCGGCACGCGGAGAGGGAGCGGAGCUCGACGCCUACGGCGGCAUCUUGGACGAUCCUUAUGAUCAUGACGACGGAGGCGACCCUGCGGAGCCGUCGUCGUUCGGGCGCGACAGUACGGCAGCGACAGUGCAUCAACUGUGGGGCGUGGUGGUAAGCAUGGGCCAACACAUUCGCGACGCUGUCUCGCACAACGACGGCAGAAGCAUGGGAGCUGCUGCCCGUGCGUCUGCCGACGAUCGCAACAACUGGAACAGGUACGACUUCGCCGCCGCUUCGGAUGGCGGCAGCAGCGAGAGCGGCGGUGGCAGUGGCAGCGGCAAUGGCAGCGGCAGUGCGGAUCGUGACGGCCAUGCGCAGAAUUUCUUUUCUCUCGCCGCCACUGACGACGAUAUCUUGCCGGGACUUCGCUAGUUUUUCAUCUGACGCUGUGUCCUGCGGCCCCUUCCUCCUCCCCCUUCUCCAUCCUCCGUCAUUGCGGCACAUGGUGGCGCUCCCCUUUCAUCGUUGCUUUCUUUGCUGUGCGUGUGCCGCUUCCGUGCUUUUGGUGUUGCUGCAUGUUGCGCCAGGCGCUUUCGGUGGCGUUCCUCUAUCUUCGUCUCCUUUUUUUUGUGCAUGCGUGCAUUGCUGCACCCACCGCAGUCCGCACGUCUGGCGGUGGUGCUUGCGUCAGCGACUUCGUAUCUUCCGGUGUCCCUCUUUCAGUGUUUUGUGGGGCACGUGCACGUUUCUCCUGCACGCCUAGCGCAUCAGUGCUCAUCUGCGUGCCUUCGUUUCUUCCUCAUCACCGUUCCAUCGCCGUUCCACACAGAGCGCAGUGAAUUGCCCGCGAGACAGCGCUCGUAUCACAGCACGGUAGCCGCGCUGCUGAUCUUGUAUUUCUCGCCUUUCGCGCUGCUGCACAUCAUUAGUGGCACGGCAUCCACCGCUUCAUGAGUGCGGCGCCCGAGGGCCUCGAGACUUCUCAUUUCUUUUUGUGAUAGGCUCUCGGUAGCCCCCAUGACGGGAAGCGGGCGCGCCUCAGCGCGUGGCAGCGCAGGAUCGAGUGCACCCUCUCCCCAUCCCCUGCGAAUGCUGCACCACCUCUGGCGGUGACAGGGGCCCGGUGACUAGGACGUGGGGAGGUCAGAGCGAGUCGUCGUCGCGGAUGCCGGCGGCCAGGUCUUGGAUGGCGCUGCUUCGGAGCGACCCGCGACAGUGAGCACGUUUGCAUGACCCAUACGAUGCUUGCGAGCUGUCAGCGUGGCUUGCGCGCAUCCGCCCUCCCUCCUCCGGCCCUCACACUGCCUACUGGUGCGGUGAGCCUGAGGAGCCACCGUGAGGGCGACGCACAAUACGACGACCGGCAUGAUGGGUGCGGCGGUGGGGCGACCUGCGAGGCGGCGCGUGGUGGGUGGGGAGCUCUGAGGCAGAGGGCAUGCCCUCAGAUGACUGGGUGGGCGCAUUGCUGUGACGUGUGUCUAGCGCUGCGUCGCACCACGCGGAUGUGGGCCUGCGACAGGGCCUGGGGGUGCGGGAGGUAGAGUGGGGUUUAACUCGUGCUGUGUGGCAGAGACGGUAUACGUUUUGGAACAGCGCUGAAUCUAGAGUUAGUGCAAGAAGUGAUGACGUUGGCCGCCGACUGUCCUCGCCACGGGGUCUUCGCACAUCUGUGCGACCUGCGAGGCCUCCGGAAAGCACCGCGAUGGACGUUCCCGCGGAAGGCUUGGUGGGUCUCUUCUACUUUUUGUUGAGACUUCAAUAACGUGCUCAUCAUAAUUUGUGUUCCACUGUACUGCCGUUUCCGUUUUCUUGUCUCCAUGAAACCUGUAUCUUUAUAUAUUUCGAUGCUGACUACCGUUGUUUGUUCGUGUGUGUGUGCUCUAGAAGUCAGCUCCGCUUUACCUUUCACCCCCACCCCCACUACCACCACCAUCCUCCCCUUCUUCAUGAGUAUGUCCACGGCACUGGUGGAAGAUGCAGCAAGGAUGGCAGGGCAGACCUCUCGCACCUCGUCCGUGUGCUGAUCGGUCAAAACGAAUGCCCCAAAGAAAAUUAUACUUGUAGGCACUUUACGUCGGGAACAGGAAGUGAUGAAUAACUGAGUCCCUGUGGCGGUGUGUUUGUGUGUGUGCGUGCCGCUGACGGGAUGGAUGCAGCAUCGAGACAGACACGCAGUCUCACUGCAACAUGGCGGUGGAGGGGCGGAGAGAUCGCCUCCGAGCAAGCUAUUUUCUUCCUCUGUUGUUCCUUCUUUUCUUUUGUUCUUUCGACUUGUGACGGCGGAGAGGGGAGGCACUGCAGACUUGCCUUUAUGCUUUGUUGUUUGCCGGCUUCUCCUGCUCCGCUCUCCCCCUCUCUCUCUCCCUUGCCGCGGAGCAGGCGCUGACGGCCUUUUUUUGUGCUCACGCGAAGACAACACACUGGAACAACCUGAAAUAUAUGAACCGAACGACCACAAGAAAAAAGCGUUUGUGUGUGUGUGUGGGGGGGGAGGUAGGGGGUUUGCGUGAAGGACAGGAGGGAGGGAGGUGAAGAACGUCUUGUUUUUUCACGUGCUAGAGCUCACCGUGAAGCACACAGCUACAUACAGAAAAAUAUUUAUCUACAUGUAUUUGUGUGCAUAUAUAUAUAUGCAUAUAUAUAUAUAUAUAUAGGGGUACGUAUGCAGUUGUGAUCGUGUGUCUGUCGCACAUGCUUUCCCGACUGUUGUUUUUCUUCCCUCCUUUCUGGAGUUCUCUCCGUUGUUUGUGUAUUUUUUCUUUUUUUUUGUGGUGCCGAACAGGUAACACGCGUACACACACACACACUCCUUCUCCCUCAGUGGAGACAUCUCCAACUACGUGCUCCUUUUGAUUUGCCUAGUCGACGCUUCUGCGAUGACAGGGUUGUUCGCCCUUUCUUUUAUUGCCUUGUUAGUCGGAGGAAUCACCGCGAGCGCCACUGCCUGCCUUGAACGCGACCCUCGCUUCCCUCGCGGCAGUCUUCUGUUGCAAAAAAAAAAAGAAUACCGAGAUCCGGUCACUAGCAUGCAAACCCACAAACGCCAUUUAUGCCUCCCCUUCCCCUCCUUCUCUUCGUCUCAAUAUUGCAACGCAG
rnacentral:misc_RNA from 1 species